rnacentral:misc_RNA from 1 species
AAAAAUUUUUUUUUUCUUUCACCAAUAAAUUGUAGUGAUAAUAUUAAAGUACUUUUAAAUAGACAUACACCUCCUGUACAGGGGAAAUAAUAUAUUUAUAUACAGUUUGAGACAUUUUAAGGGGAAUGGUGCUGCUAUAUCUCAACAGCAGGAGCCAGCCACCAGCCACUCACCACUGAGCUAUUCAUUCAAUUGCUAAAUUCUGUGUUUUGUUAAAUAUACAAACAAUUGUAUCAUCACGGUACAAAAAUAAUCCAUCCAUCAACUCCAUAUUAGCAUAAAGUUUAUUGGCUAAAGCAUUGAAAUUUUGUAACUUGUGAGAUGGUAAUAGAAUGUGAAGCCCUGAGAGGAAAUCUUUUCAAAGAAGAAGAAAAGAAAAAGAAAAGCUGCAAGAGGAAAUGUUACAGCUUUUCACAUAUCCCAUGCUCCAACUCUGUUUCAUCUCUAAAACAGUAAGGAAAAUCAAAACAAAUCAGGUUCUUUAUCGAGUAUAUCAUUCUCAAUUUUCCUUCGAAGGUACAAAGAGAGUGAAGAUGUGGGAACAGAGGGUGGAGCAAGCAUGAGGAGGAAUAAGGAGCCACCAAAGCUGGCAAUUCCAUUGUCAUAAGUUUCAUGCACAAAGUAGCAGCUUGAGGCAACUAAAAUCUUACAUUAGACCAAUAUGAAAUUCAGACUGCCAUGACACACAAAGAUUUAGGACAAUACAGGACUUCAAACAGUUCGCAGACAGUUUUUCAGUAUGAAAUCCACAUGUAACACUUUUGUCUCAACUCUCAAGUCAUGCAGAAAGCCUAUUCCCACAAGCAACUCAUAUGAAAUACACACAAAUAAUGAUGUUACUGGACAGUCAUGUACUUUAGGAUUUCAAGAAACAUGCAAGUACAAUCUUCUAAGGGCCCAUUUAGAUAAAAUGAAAUUAAAUUUGGAUGCGCUUCAAAUGAAAAAUCAUAAAACACUAAUAUAAUCUCAACAUCAAAUACCCCCUCAUUUCAUAUUUUAUCUAUCCAAAUGGAUCCUAAUGUAAUUUAUCACAACUUUCAUCAAAUAACACACAGAUCAUAAAAAGAAUUGAACGUAUGAUACCAUGUGAAGGUCCAAUUGAUUGAGCAAAUUGAUAUUGCAAUAAAUGUAAAUGUCGUUACAUUGCAGAAACAUUUCAAACCAUUCGGCAUAUAAAUUGGACAGGCAUAAAAAGACUCAAACGAAUAUCAAAACCUGUCCAUGAGGUGGUCCAAAUUUUCAAAAAGUCCCUGUGGUUUCAGAUCCUUAUCAGUGAAUUACCAAUGAAACCAUGAACUCCUGGUACCUGAUACAACUUCAGGGAUUUAUUGCAAAAGACUGGUGAGGAUGCAGGGAAAUCCAUGCAUGCUGUUAAUGAUUGCUUGCCAUUUCAAAAAGCCUGUGAUAUAUGUAAGCCUUGAAUAAUCCAACCGAGGAGACAAUAAGCAAUAACAUUCCACUUCAUCCUGCUGCCACCAAAUGCUUCUCUAUUGAAAUCAAAUUCACCCACAAAUUUCGGCAAGAAGGAACCUGUCUCACAAAAUAAUUAUUGGUGACUAGCAAUGAAAAAUUACUUCGUACAACAAUAAUCAUUGUCAGAAAAUUAAGAGGUCAGAACUGCUACAUCAGUAACUGAAAUUGAAACAUUUCCUGAAGAUUUCAAAUGAGUAUUUCAGUCUUCCAUAGCAGUAGCAAAUUAGUAAUAAAGAAUGAAGACAAUGAAGACGAAGAUGAUGAUUGUGAUGUGAAUUACGAUGAUGUUCAAUUCCACAUACUUGCAAAGCACGCAGCAUGUUUUCAAUGCUUAUGAUAUGAAGUGGACACUUCAAACGUGGAGACCUAUGAUGAAGAUUCCAGAAGAGACUAAGGCUUCAUAACUUGUAAAGAAAAGCUUUAUACAACAGGAAGAAAAUUUGAACACAGAAUCAGAAAAGAGGGCCUUGAGACAGUUGAAAUGUUCACACAGGUUUUACCAAAUGUGAUAAUAUUUGCAGAUUAUACAAUGCAGCAAGAAAUUCAGAGAAGAAAAGUCUAUCAACUGAAUUGCAUUUUCAACUUGCAAUGAACUUUGUACAUCUCAAGCAAUGGGAAAUGAAUUUACAGACAACACUUGUUUAUCAGCCAAAAGAUUGUGAUUAAUAAAUCUUGAGACAGCAUUUAUCCUUCUGUAUCAAUAUUAUCAUCACCAGAUGGCAUUUGUCUAGGCUCUGACAGUGAAAGUCGCCUGGGCUUUGUUGAGCCUGCUUCAACAAGCCCUUCUGGUGAUAAAGUUAAUGCAGCAGAUCCUGAUGAUGUCCCUAGAAAACGUCGAACUGGGGCAUCAGCUGAGGAUGAUGCAGAGAAGUUGUAUGUGAAAAUUCCCAUAGGGUGGUCAAACUUGCAACUCGGACCAAACUUGCAGACACCAUAACGCGAAUAGAAGAUGCACAAAGGUUCUCCCGGGCGUAAAGGGAGGCCUAAGGGACUCAACACACAGUCUGGAGGAGGAAUUAGCCUUUCUCUUGGGUGAUGGAACCUACAAACUGGACCAAACUUACAGUCCCCUGUCUUCAUGUAAAACUGACAUUCAGGUUGGCCAGGUCUCUCAGGAAAAACAUUCUCCCUUUGCAAUGUAUAAAAUCCUACUGGGACAGAGCCAGAACGGAAUGGAGAAAGUGUCCCUUGAGAUCCUGCAUUCAUUGAUUCACUCUGGCGUGAGGUUCCAUAUAUCUGACUGUUUCCUGUUUGCUGCUGACCCUCUGGAGAAGAAACUGAUCCCAGCUGACCCUGGAAAAUUGACAUUCCAUAAUCAUGUCAUCCUUCUCAAUCCUCAUAAGUUCCAUGGAGCACAAACAAAAUCAUCUUGAGUACCAAAGCAACUAAUGAGUGCAAAAAGCUUAGAAACUAUAUAUUGACUGCAAAACAGUGGAUAAUUAACCAAUAAAAAAAAUAUUGUGCCUCUUGUUGAAUCUAGGGAAACAAAUAAUAGAACGUACCACCAACUCAUACUUAAGAUCACACCCCAAAGAAGAAUUACAAACAUCUGAAGAUGCACUAAAAGAAAACAAACCAACCUUGGAGCUUGAGGGAGUUUAUUUAGAUGUUCUAACACAUUAAUACAUAUAGAUUAAUAUUUCCAUAAAUUAACACGAGCAGAGUAAUUGGUUUAGUUCAAAAGUGGCUAAAGGGCUGAUCGUAUCUACGUGGAAAAUGCUGAUUUACCGUAUUCACUUUGCUGUUGAAAAAACAGAAAUUUUAAGCAACUGUAAAGACUGUAAGUUUUGUAAAGUAACCCACUUUUGACACCCCAUCCAGAUUUAAGCAGAUUCUGAAAAAUUGUUUUAUACUUAAAUUCUAAUUUAGCUCAUUCACCUUGGAACCCAAAAUUGGUGCGCACAUUCAAUUCAGAAAUGAAAGCAAAUCCUCAAAACAAAGACAGCUUAACUGGGGAAAAAUUAUUGCAAUUUCUCAAUUGUCUUUCCAAGUGUCUCCAGGACCACCGCCACCACAUCCACAAUCACCAUUACCAUAAAACUACCAUCAAUAUCUCACCCAAGUAAUCAGCUCACUCCACCACACCACUAGCACUGAAGCUGUCAUCACCAUCAAACUCCAAAUUUUAACUUAGCUUCAACUAUGGAGUCUGAAUUCUGGACUCACAGCUAGAGCAACAAAGGGCCACCUAAGCCUCACACAUCAAAAGGUUGAAAUGAACUCUAAGUAUUGGACCAAAAUGUAAAACGAGAUUAUCAAAAUUUUCAGGAAAACAAAGAAAAUCACAACACCAAGGCUGAAAAAGAUUUUUCCAAUUAGCUUGCAUUGAUAACUAUCAGACAUUAAAGCAAUUCUACUAUCCAAUUGCACAGAGAGUUGAACAAAAUUCAUGGAUCAAAUGAAAAAUAAAACGGAUAGUCUGGGGAAAGAAAAAAAAAAUGUACAAUUGGUGCUGCUUCAACAACUAACUACCAUGACUAAAAGAUGCUAAUGACGAAGAGUCUUGGAACACUCUCAAAGCAUUAUCGGCUUUGGGGGCCCUUAAGGCAGUGUGAGAUUGGAAUUGAAAGUUAGUUGGCCCCAUGGUAAGAAACUUUUGUUAAUGUGUAAUUCCAUUUUCCAUAUAUGACUAGAUCUUGGUCUGCCCUCAGGAUAUUAGCAGCUUUAAUCCAUGGGGGUAGUCACACAGCUUUAUCCUCUAAGAAAAGGCCUCUUGAGAGGAUCAGGCUUUGCUUAGCCUUAUAGAGCCAAACCCCCUGGACUCCUUGGCAUUGUAAGACAAACUUUUUUACUGAAUAUGCACAACAAUGUGAAUACAUGAAAAAGUUAUUGCUAGGUUGAUGAUAAGGCAAAAUUUAAGUGGUUGGACAUGAUUGUCAAAAUAUAGAGAGCAGUGUAGCAGUAAUUGAGCACAUUUAAGCUGGUUUAGUGAACAAUUAGCCUGCUGAGACCAUAUACAACACAGUGUGCUAAAUGGUUGUCAUUGCAUACUCAAACCAAAGGUAUAGAGAAGUUUACACAGUAUGCGUUCCAGCGUGGAACAGAUACUACUCCUUGAGGUAAAAUCAGAGGUGUAUAACUUGAAGGAACUUGCCAACGUGGACUGGUAACGAAAGACGCUCUUGACCAGUUUGUAAGUCCUCCUGCAUAGGAUUGCUGACCCGGAGAAGUUGGAGAGUGGACAGUAGGAUAAAUAGGGGAACCACGUAGUGGAACCAUCACAUUAGUUGGUUGAGGAUGGUGGAAUUUACAAGUGCUUCCAAACUUGCACUGCCCAGUUCUUAAGUAGUAAGCACAAUCAAUCUCAUUCGGUCGAAGUGGAUACCCCAAAAUAUUUAAGGAUACUCUUCCAGCAAUCCCAGCCUUGUCUUUAGGAUGAUGAAACUUGCAUGUGGCUCCAAACUUGCAAGUUCCUGUCUUUAGAUAGUACUGGAGCACAGUUAAAAUAGUCAUUAGUUGUCAUAUCCCUGCACUUCUACUGAAGAGAUGGUUUUUUAAGAAGAGAGAACCAAGGGUUUCUCACAUUUAUUUCCCUCUCUGAUUAUGGCAGCUAAAAUCUAAUAUCAAAAGGGAGAUAAAACACGAAAAUAAGUAAUGGUUGCAGAUACAUUGCUUCUCUAUGUCCUACGAUUUCGUUUCAUUUUCUUCCCAUUCUGUCAGGGUGGGGAAGAAGAAAGGAGAUUGGUAAAAUAAGACAAUUCAUUUUUAAUACCAGUAAGUAUAGUUCACGUAGAAGCAAAAUAUAUCACCUGGCAUUCAGGUUGUCCCAUCCUUUCUGGAAAUUCCCCUUUCAUUCUCGCAGCGGCUAAAGCCUAGAACUCAAUAGAAUUUAGUUGACAAUACGAAUCCCAAUAGCUUUUUUAGUCUAAAGUAAACAUGAAAUAUGCAGUGUGUGAAUGUGCAAUCAAGAAAUGCAUGUGCAUGAAAGAUGGCAACAGAUAAAAUUUCAUAUACUUGAAGUUCCAAGAAUUUGUCUAAACAUGCUGCAGUUAAUACCAGCUUUCUGUUAGGAGGAUGAUUAAAUCGGCAUGUAGCCCCAAAUCUACAAAGCCCUGUUCUGAUGUAAUAAGAACAAUCAGGCUCUCCAGGACGCUCAGGAUAGGGCCCAGAUUCCAUUGUUUCAUUUGAUCUCAAAUUCAUUUGCCACAUUGCAUCUAAGACGACAGUAGAUAACCGGGUUUAAAAAUUUAUUGCAAAACAUUGCCUUCGUUCAACGAUGGUGACAGAGAGGGUCCCUCAGUCACAGGCGGAGGACCAGUACGGGACAUCGGAAUUCCAGCAUCAAAGUUAUUGAAAAUUAGAAGACCUAUUAUUAUUGCCCUCCAUCACCAAGCAGUGACUCUAACACUCCCAGCCGCAAUUCUCAUUCCCCCAAUCCGAAUCCCUCUUCUCCUUCAGAUAGAUAGAUAGCGUUUUAGAGAAAGAAAAAGUUGAAGGAGAGCUUAAUUUCCCUUCAUUUUUUUUUUUUUAUCCUUUUAGCCGAGAGAGAAAAAGCCAAAGAGCGUCGUCUACUCCUCUCCAAGAAAUUUGA